rnacentral:lncRNA from 1 species
AAAAAACCAAAAAGAACUAACUCAUUCAAACCAUUUUAGGCCUUUGUGCCUUUCAAACUUAAUUUUUGUUAAAAUUAAUGCAUCCACUUUGAAAUUUAUAUCACGAACUACGAGGUUUUUAUCCCUCAUUUUUAUGUUGGUACGUAGGCACAAGACCGAAGGUCUUGUCAAACACAAAAAUGUAAUUAAUGAAUUCUUU